rnacentral:rRNA from 1 species
UACGGGGGGGGCAAGCGUUGUUCGGAAUUACUGGGCGUAAAGGGCUCGUAGGCGGCCAACUAAGUCAGACGUGAAAUCCCUCGGCUUAACCGGGGGAACUGCGUCUGAUACUGGAUGGCUUGAGUUUGGGAGAGGGAUGCGGAAUUCCAGGUGUAGCGGUGAAAUGCGUAGAUAUCUGGAGGAACACCGGGUGGCGAAGGCGGCAUCCUGGACCAACACUGACGCUGAGUGAGCGAAAGCCAGGGGAGCAAACGGGG